ACAACAUUUGGACCGUCCAUGUCGGUAUAUGGAGCAAUAUCACCCGCUCUAUGGAUGAUCUUCCCUUUGUCGU
rnacentral:pre_miRNA from 1 species